GGAGGACGGUUACCACUUUGUGAUUCAUGACUGGGGUGAAGUCGUAACAAGGUAACCCUAGGGGAACCUGGGGUUGGAUCACCUCCUUACCUUAA
rnacentral:rRNA from 1 species